AUAAAUACGAAAAUUGGUUAUAAUAUAACAUAAUUUUUAUACAGCUUCAUAAAAUGGGAUUUUACAUUAUUUGUAAGAAGUUAUGACAAAUGGUUUAAGUGCAAUGCUGUGGAUGCGAAAUUUAUCUCAUAAUUGCACAAUGGAUUGUGAACUUAGGUGCAUUCCACAAACGUUCAUAUAUGGUUUGGUAUGGUCGUUUUGUUACUUUAGCGAGCCAUUCAAAUAUCAGCACUAAAAAGUGAUGGUGGCAACCAAAGUAGUGUUUGUGUAUAAUGUGAGAAAUUAUAAUUCUAUUUAUUUUAAGUUUGUAUGAUAAAAAAUCAUGUUGUAUUCUGACAGUAUUCUGACCCUUGCAGAAAAAAAAAUCGAUUUUAAUUACUGUUGCAGAUAAUUAAAUAACCUUUAUGCAACGCGAAUACGUAUUUCGCUCGUGGCCGGAUACUUAUGAACAGUAGUGUAUAUGUAUAUGUCACCGAUAUUACGUUUUCUUUUUUCAUAUCGCCCGUUCUUCGUUCGAAUUCGAUAAUGAGGUACAUUCCACUGUCCUACUGGUAUAUGGUAAUAAUUGCACUUAAUCACGAAUUUUUCAUCAGUCCUCAUCUUUAGAAUUAUAGGAAUUAUUGUGUAAUGUAGUCGUGCUAAUUACAAUGUACAAUAGUCAAAUAAUUUCGUAACCGCCACUAUGAAAUUCUAAUAGAUUUUUACGAGCUAAAUCCGAAUCUGAAAUCCGUAUUUCUUGAAGUCGUACAAUUAGGUUGAAAAUUAAUGCUAAAAAAAUUACAAAUUUUCAACUUUGGACAUGUAUUGUGCUUUUACCAUAACAGCUCUUCAGUGGUUUAUUACACAAGAAAAAUCUGGGAACCUUCCCAAAUAAAACGAUAUAAAUUGUUAUCAUAUUAUAAACACUUAAAAGGCAUCAAGUUACGCCAAGGCAGUAAGCAGGACAAUCAAUACGGGUGCGCCAACAUUGAGUACCGCUGGCAGCGACGUGUUUUGCUAAAUUGUUUCUCUUGUAAAAUAAAACAAAACUGACAAUAAUUUCAGUUGUGAUUUUGUAAAUUUAUUCGAUGCUGUUUGUAGCAGAAAUGUCUGCUGUAUCACGUACGAUUGAUAGAUUUUCGCCUAGACUUAUAGUUUUUUAAAUAAAUUAAAAAAUAUCAGCAAAAAUUGGUGCCUUUUUAGUGUCUUUCUUAUUUUGAUCAUCAUUUAAACAUAUUCAAAUGUUUAUAAUGUUACAAAAUUUAUAUUGUUUUAUUUGGGAAAAUUCACAAAUUUUUCUCCUGU